rnacentral:lncRNA from 1 species
AUAGCUCAAUGAAAUUCAGGGUUCACCAGCCAAGGGGAAUUGACGGAAUCUAAGAUGAAUUGGGAAAGGGAUUAGUUAGCCUAGGGACUCUAUAAUCAAUGCCUGCAUGUUUCCAAAAACUGAUUUCACGUGGCCCAAAAGCAGAUUCCAUAAUGAUACACAUGGAAUAGUGAUGAAUAAAAUCCAAUCAAAACUUUGUGACCACUCAUAUCCUUCCACUCAGCUCUCUCUCCUUCGCCAUCGUCUUCGUCAUGCCAGAGGCUCCCUCGAUGGCGGAGACACCCUGAAAACUUACGUUGAACCCACAUUUCUACUCUGUUCCAUCCCCUAAAUCCAAAUACGUCAAUGAAAAAGUCUAAAAUCAACUUGAACCGGUCCAAACGGAGGUAAUCAGUCAAGAACCCUAACGCGCCAAGGUCCAACUAACUAGUGUCAAGGCAUGGAUCUUCAUGAAAACCAUGGGGUUAAUGCUGCUAAGGAUUCUUAUUACAUGUUGAUGGUCGAUUCUGAAGAAAACGGAGGAAAGAAAAUUUACCUGUGAAACGGAAAAACAUUCUGGCGAGUAUUGAUCAGAGGAGACGAGAUGCGAACGAACCACGCUUGAUCAACCAUGUAACGUUCACGAUUCACUUCUUCCUUAAAUGUUCGAUGUUCCUUCUAUCUUCCACACCUUCUUCCAAAUCGGAUUGUGAGUGGUGAGAUGGUUUAGCUCGCCCUUCUUGAAUCUUCAAGAUGAAGCUUCAAUGGAGUUUUGAAUAUAGCUCUAAGUGAGAGGGGGGAGAGGUAGAGAGUAUUUUGAUUUGCUCUGAGUUUUGAAUCACCUAUGGUGAAAAAAAGUUCUCCAUUUUGAUCUGUGAUGACUGAUUUUAUAGAAAUCAAUUUCUGUUAUGAAAUCCAAAUGAAGUUCAUCUAUAAUUCAUUUUCGGUGUGAUUUAUUGUUGGUCUGAAUGUUACAUGAUGCAGGAUAGUAAUGGUCAUGUUUGGAAUUGGCUUAGCUUAACAAGAACAUCAAGGUGAUAAAGGAAAAUCAAAGUGAAAUCAAGGCAUGACCAACUUGAAGAGGGAUUUCUUGCUCAUAAAAAUGAUGUAAACUCAUGGAAUUAUGAAGAUGCAAUGAGAGUCAGGUUUUAGAGGGAAAAGGUAAUGGUUGACUUUGGUCAACUGGUUGACCAAAAAGUUAACUUUUCAAUUUUUUAUUUAUAUUUCUCUCUUUUUAAUGAACAUUGUAUUCUAAUGCAUGAAUGAAUCAUCAAUUGUUUGAGUGAAAUGAUCAAGAUUGAAUGUGAAGCAAAGUUUGACUUUUGGAUGAAUCUCAACUAAAAACCAAGUUUAAUCUAUGCAUGAAUUAACCAUCUUUAAAGAUUUGAAUCACA